UAGGCAGAAAGCCCCAAGGUGUUCCUGCCCUAGGCAACCCUCCCAACCCUUCCUCUAAAGUGGGGGUAGGUUUCCCCCACGGUCUGUUCUCCUCUGAACCCCUCCACCUUCCUGCACCCCCAGUCUCUGGAGAAGAGCUACAAGGCAAGCACAGGCUGUGAACUCAAAUGGCUAGUUCCUACACAUCGAUGCUGAAGGGAAGUUGCAGAAGUUUCUUCAACAAAGUCACACCAGAAUUGCUUUCUACCUUGGUCCCAGAAUCUCAGCUCAAAAGUCAGAGGUCUAUAUGGAAAACAAGAACUGGGAUGCUGAGCCCUUUCUGCACUGUGAAGAUUAAUUGCAACAAUGCCUGUGAAGAAGCCGGUAGCAUGCUGACCACUGUUAAGAAUGCGGUGGCGGUUUGGAAAGCUUUUCACACCCUCGGGUUUUGUAUUUUGUCUGACCACAUUUGCCUGGGCCACAAAUUUGCAUCGGCCCAGUGGCCCUAUACAAAGAAGGUCCUGCCUCAGGAAGUCUUCUAAGAGUGGUAAAUCUUGCCUCUAUGGGAGCUUAAUAAAUCCCCAUGCCUCUCCUCUUACGUCCUCCACAGUGAGAGCAGUUGUAACCGGGGAUAGUCGGACACAUUCAUCUUCAUCAAUGAUUCCAAUCCUCCCCCUCCCCCACGUCCAGGAGAAGAAACGGCCAAGCCAUGUUUCCCUUCUCAUCUACGCCCAUUGUGUUUAUUGGCAGAUGUUCCGGAAAUUAAUAAACAGCUAGAGUGGGCAGUAAGGAAGGAGGGAAACCUAAAGAAGGAGGGAAAAGGAGCUUGUCUCAUCUGCACCCUGAAUAAUUAGACCCUGAGUGGGCUGUGUUAUUAAUAACUUUCGCAGAAGAAUGACAUUUUGUGAAUUCUGUAUCCAUUUCCAACAAGGGUGGUGUGUGGUGUUCAGACACACAGGAAGCUGCUGGAAUACAGAACAGGAUGGCCAAGCACAACAGUUCCAUUUGUGGAGACAUCCUAUUAACCAUUCCUUUAAAACAUUUAACGUUAAUAAAAGUUUAAACAAGUCCUCUAUUCAGGGACACUGGCCCUUUAAGAAAAAUCAAAAUAAAUAAAAUAAAAAUCAAAUAAAGCUAAAACCUUCUCUUUGACAUGCAGCCUAGUCACUUCCUGAAUCCCUACUGUUUUUGUUAUUGUUGCUGUUUUUAAGAUAAGUUCUUACCAUGUAGCCCAGGCUGGCCUUUAACUGACAAGCCUCCUGCCUCAGGCUUCACACCAGUGCCAGCAUUAUGUGGCCUUGUACCACCGGGCCCUGCUGCUGAUACAAAUUAAUGAAUAAAAGGUACAAAUACCCAAAUAGAAACAUAAUUAUAAAGCAUGGGCAGACAUCUCACAGAGAAGAAACAUGAAUAGUCGUUACAUGCACGAAAGGGUGAAUAUCCUCAUUUUUAGUUGAAUAAGCCAGGUACAGUGGCUGACUUUGAAAGACUGAGAUAGACCAACCAGUUGAGCUCAUAAAUCUGAAGCUAGCCUGGGCAACAUUGUGAGAUGAGAGACACACGUGUGGGAGGGUGGGUGUAGAAUGCUCAAUGUUACUGGCAGAUACUCGGUGCUCCCGAGGGGAUGGGAAAAUUGAGGCAUUCUGAUGUUUCAUAUGGGGACAUGAAUUGAACAGUGUAGCCAAAUCAAGAUUGGGACUUCAGUUGUCACUUAACAAAAUGCAGACGCCCAAGACGGUCAGCUUCUUUCCC